rnacentral:rRNA from 1 species
UCGGGAAACUGAGGAUAAUAUCCCAUAGUUGAAUAGGCUUGGAAAAGUUAUUCAAUCAAAAGGAUAAAAAAAAUGGUUUUUAUUCGCUAUAGGAUAGGAUCGUGCUCGAUUAUGGUUGUUGGCGAGGUAACGGCUCACCAAGCCGAUAAUCGAUAGGGGCCGUGAGAGCGGGAGCCCCGAGAUGGGUACUGAGACACCGACCCAGGCCUUACGAGGCGCAGCAGGCGCGAAACCUCCGCAAUACACGAAAGUGUGACGGGGUUACCCAAAGUGUUCAAUUAUGAACUGUGGUAGGUGAGUAAUGUCCCCUACUAGAAAGGAGAGGGCAAGGCUGGUGCCAGCCGCCGCGGUAAAACCAGCUCUUCAAGUGGUCGGGAUAAUUAUUGGGCUUAAAGUGUCCGUAGCCGGUUUAGUAAGUUCCUGGUAAAAUCGGGUAGCUUAACUAUCUGUAUGCUAGGAAUACUACCAUGCUAGAGGGCGGGAGAGGUCUGAGGUACUACAGGGGUAGGGGUGAAAUCUUAUAAUCCUUGUAGGACCACCAGUGGCGAAGGCGUCAGACUGGAACGCGCCUGACGGUGAGGGACGAAAGCCAGGGGAGCGAACCGGAUUAGAUACCCGGGUAGUCCUGGCCGUAAACGAUGCAUACUAGGUGAUGGUACGGCCAUGAGCCAUAUCAGUGCCGUAGGGAAACCGUUAAGU